rnacentral:rRNA from 1 species
GACGAACGCUGGCGGCGUGCUUAACACAUGCAAGUCGAACGAGAAAGCCCUUCGGGGUAAGUACAGUGGCGAACGGGUGAGUAACACGUGGGCAACCUGCCCCAGAGAGCGGGACAACCCGGGGAAACCCGGGCUAAUACCGCAUGAUGCGUCUCCACUUAAGUGGAGCCGCCAAAUGGUAGCUUCGGCCUCCGCUCUGGGAUGGGCCCGCGCCGGAUUAGCUAGUUGGUUGGGGUAAUGGCCCACCAAGGCGACGAUCCGUAGCUGGUCUGAGAGGACGAUCAGCCACACUGGGACUGAGACACGGCCCAGACUCCUACGGGAGGCAGCAGUGGGGAAUCUUGCGCAAUGGGCGAAAGCCUGACGCAGCAACGCCGCGUGGGGGAAGAAGGCCUUCGGGUUGUAAACCUCUUUCAGUAGGGACGAAGCUUCCGGGGUUAAUAGCCUACGGGGUGACGGUACCUACAGAAGAAGCCCCGGCUAACUACGUGCCAGCAGCCGCAGUAA